GCUGGGCAUGGUGGCACAUGCCUGUAAUCCCAGUUACUUGGGAGGCUGAGGCAGAGAACUGCUUGAACCUGGGAGGUUGAGGUUGCAGUGAGCCGAGAUCGUGACAUUGCACUCCAGCCUGGGUGACAGAGUGAGACUCCGUCCCUGCCGCAAAAAAAAGAAAAAAAAAGACAGCGUCUCGCUCUGUUGCCCAGGCUGGAGUGCAGUGGUGCAAUCUCAGCUCACUGCAACCUCCACCUCCCAGGUUUAAGUCAUUCUCGUGCCUCAG
rnacentral:SRP_RNA from 1 species